CAAAAGGCAUGGUCCUGACCUUACUAUCAGCUCUUACCCAACUUACACAUGCAAGUCUCCGCAGCCCCGUGAGUAUGCCCUUAAUCCCCCACCCGGGGACGAGGAGCGGGCAUCAGGCACAAAUUUUUAGCCCAAGACGCCUGGCCAAGCCACACCCCCAAGGGAAUUCAGCAGUGAUAAACAUUAAGCCAUAAGUGAAAACUUGACUCAGUCAGGGUUAAGAGGGCCGGUAAAACUCGUGCCAGCCACCGCGGUUAAACGAGAGGCCCUAGUUGAUAUUACUACGGCGUAAAGGGUGGUUAAGGAAAGCAUUAUAAUAAAGCCAAAUGGCCCCUUGGCCGUCAUACGCUUCUAGGUGCCCGAAGCCCAACCACACGAAAGUAGCUUUAACAAAGCCCACCUGACCCCACGAAAGCUGAGAAACAAACUGGGAUUAGAUACCCCACUAUGCUCAGCCAUAAACCUAGACAUCCACCUACAAUUAGACGUCCGCCCGGGUACUACGAGCAUUAGCUUGAAACCCAAAGGACCUGACGGUGCCUUAGACCCCCCUAGAGGAGCCUGUUCUAGAACCGAUAACCCCCGUUAAACCUCACCACUUCUAGCCACCCCAGCCUAUAUACCGCCGUCGUCAGCUUACCCUGUGAAGGCAAUAAAAGUAAGCAAAAUGGGCACAACCCAGAACGUCAGGUCGAGGUGUAGCGUACGAAGCGGAAAGAAAUGGGCUACAUUUUCUAUAAUAGAACACUACGGACAUGCAACAUGAAAUAGUGCUUGAAGGAGGAUUUAGUAGUAAAAAGGAAACAGAGUGUCCUUUUGAACCCGGCUCUGAGGCGCGUACACACCGCCCGUCACUCUCCCCUGUCAAAACGCAAAAAAUAUAUUUAAUACCAAAGCACUGACAAGGGGAGGCAAGUCGUAACAUGGUAAGUGUACCGGAAGGUGCACUUGGAUAAAACU
rnacentral:ncRNA from 1 species